AUUGAACGCUGGCGGCAGGCCUAACACAUGCAAGUCGAGCGCGCGGCGCAGGCGUGUGAGAUGUCUCGGAAAAUGCCUGAGGGAGGGGGAUAAAUACUGGAGAAGGUAGCUCAUAUACCACACCCUCCGAUGUGUCCAGAUGGGAUUAGCUAGUGGGUGGGGUAAUGGCUCACCAAGGCGACGAUCCCUAGCUGGUCUGAGAGGAUGACCAGCCACACUGGAACUGAGACACGGUCCAGACUCCUACGGGAGGCAGCAGUGGGGAAUAUUGCACAAUGGGCGCAAGCCUGAUGCAGCCAUGCCGCGUGUGUGAAGAAGGCCUUCGGGUUGUAAAGCACUUUCAGCGGGGAGGCGUUACCCGCAGAAGAAGCACCGGCUAACUCCGUGCCAGCAGCCGCGGUAAUAC
rnacentral:rRNA from 1 species